GGGGAGGACUGCGCAGGGGCGGAGAACUCUACCCUUGGUGGAGUUUCUUACCACCUCCCACUCCUAAAAGCACCCUUGCUAAAAUAAAUCCCCAAGUGCUGCUGGCUGAGAGGAGAGGAGGCUUACUUUUUUUGUUUGCUUUUAUGAAUGGAGAAGACAAACUGGUUAGGGGCACGCUCUUGGUCCCAAACAAAACCGGACAAACUGCAGGUCAACUCCUCACCUCUUUCUCCUCUGGGCACAUAGUUUGGUCCUUGCAUCUCCCUAUCAGAUGUCCCACCAACAGAGUGGCCAAUGGGUCUUCUGGGGGCAUGUUUGCCCUCUGAAAAGCAAGGAGAGACACUACUCCCCCGUGACCCUUGUGGUCCCCUCAUACCUCCAACUUGCCAGGUUGAAUCAUUAGGAGUUUAUAUCCCAAAACAGCUCUUCCCAAACCUCCAGCAAACACCCAAACAGACCCCCUCACCCCAUGGCCCCAAACUCUCAGCCUGGAAGGCCCAUUAUUGUAAGGCAGCCAUUUGGCUAGGAUCAAUUAUUAACAGUUUUUUUUCCUCUUUCAUAUUUAAUGAAAGAGGAAAAGGCUGCGGGUCCCAUCCCAGGCAAUCACAUUAAGGGAAUAGCGCUGCAAAUUGGUAAGACACGCUACUUAGUGUAGAAUUGAAGUGAAUUUAAAAACAUAUACAUAUACAUAGAUAUUCAGAGCUUUUCAUUUGGGGGAAGCUGGUGGAGUGCAUCUUACUUGGAAUUGGCUCCGCUUUGGGGAAGCGGGCAACUUUCCUGAGUCCUGAGGUCUAGGGAGAGAUGCUGGAUAGAAAAAGAAAAAGAAA
rnacentral:lncRNA from 1 species